UACGUAGGGGGCUAGCGUUGUCCGGAAUCAUUGGGCGUAAAGCGCGUGUAGGCGGCCCGAUAAGUCCGCUGUGAAAGUCCAGGGCUCAACCCUGGGAUGCCGGUGGAUACUGUCGGGCUCGAGUCCGGAAGAGGCGAGUGGAAUUCCUGGUGUAGCGGUGAAAUGCGCAGAUAUCAGGAGGAACACCAAUGGCGAAGGCAGCUCGCUGGGACGUGACUGAUGCUGAGACGCGAAAGCGCGGGGAGCAAACAGG
rnacentral:rRNA from 1 species